rnacentral:rRNA from 1 species
GAUGAACGCUGGCGGCGUGCUUAACACAUGCAAGUCGAACGGUGAAGGCGGAGCUUGCUCUGCUGGAUCAGUGGCGAACGGGUGAGUAACACGUGAGCAAUCUGCCCCUGACUCUGGGAUAAGCGCUGGAAACGGCGUCUAAUACUAGAUACGAGCUGCGAAGGCAUCUUCAGCAGCUGGAAAGAAUUUCGGUCAGGGAUGAGCUCGCGGCCUAUCAGCUUGUUGGUGAGGUAAUGGCUCACCAAGGCGUCGACGGGUAGCCGGCCUGAGAGGGUGACCGGCCACACUGGGACUGAGACACGGCCCAGACUCCUACGGGAGGCAGCAGUGGGGAAUAUUGCACAAUGGGCGAAAGCCUGAUGCAGCAACGCCGCGUGAGGGACGACGGCCUUCGGGUUGUAAACCUCUUUUAGCAGGGAAGAAGCGAAAGUGACGGUACCUGCAGAAAAAGCGCCGGCUAACUACGUG